AUGAUCGUGCCGCCACCGGCCCCACCGCCGCCCCUCGUCGAGCCCAAGCCCAAGCCCAAGCCUGAGCCAAAUCCCACGCGCAAGCGGUCACCGCUGCUCCCCACUUGGCCGAAGGAGUCCUAUUUGUGGACCGGCCAGUCCUGUGAGUGGGUGAGCGCGCCUCCCUACCACUACGCCGCCAUGCAGGAAAAAGAGGCGAUGUUGCGCCAUGACGAGGAGGCUUUGCGACUUGAGGAGGAGGAGGAGGAGGAGGAGGAGGAGGAGGAGGAGGAGCGUGCCCGCCUUGCUGCUAUGUCGUCGCCACAGCAGACGCUGGAGGAGGCUGCGCUGGCGGCCUAUCAAGCCGCAUCCGGUUGGGCUGGGCCUCCCCCCGUCUUCAUUGACCUCACCGGCGGCGAGGACGACGACGACAAGGGCAAGGCGCCAGUUGAUCAGUUGGUCAGUAGUAGUAGUUGUGUGCCACCACACUUUGGCUCCUCCGCCCUCUGCUCUGCUCUGCUCGGCAGCCGAAUCUCCCUCCGCCCGCCCGCCCGUGGUCAGGUGAGAAACCUCGCCCCUCCCCCAGCCAUCGCUCCUCCAUUUUGCUCGCUCCAUUCCCGUUUUUUGCUGCUGUUGGCGCGUCCGGAUUGGGAUGAUCUGGUAACUGGGUUCCUACGCCCCGGAUCCUCAGAAACCCUCGGCACCUUGCCCCUUUGCCAGAGGAUGCCGUUAACUAAGGUGCACAAACGUGGGGCUAUAAGCCGUUCCAUUGACAUUGGUAGCUUCUCUGGAUACGGAGAACUGAAUCAAGCUUUGGCCCACAUGUUUGGCAUGGAAGGGCAACCCGAAGAUCGACAGAGUAUAGGUCGUUGGAAGUUUAUCUACCAGGAUUAUGAGGGUGACUUCCUAUUUGUCGGUGAUGACCCAUGGGAGGAGUUUGUGAUCAUCGUCAAGUCCAUUUGGAUCCUGUCACCUCAAGAGGUUCUUCAACCGAUGUUUCCGGGUGGUGAUUUAACAUAA
rnacentral:rRNA from 1 species